rnacentral:rRNA from 1 species
GUGUCAGCAGCCGCGGUAAUACAGAGGUGGCUAGCGUUGUUCGGAAUUACUGGGCGUAAAGGGCGCGUAGGCGGCCCUUCAAGUCCCGCGUGAAAUCCCCCGGCUUAACCGGGGAACUGCGCGGGAAACUGUAGGGCUUGAGAUUGGGAGAGGGAAGCGGAAUUCCGGGUGUAGCGGUGAAAUGCGUAGAUAUCCGGAGGAACACCGGUGGCGAAGGCGGCUUCCUGGACCAACACUGACGCUGAGGCGCGAAAGCUAGGGGAGCAAACGGGAUUAGAAACCCGCGUAGUCC